rnacentral:rRNA from 1 species
GAAUAUUGCGCAAUGGGGGCAACCCUGACGCAGCCAUGCCGCGUGUGUGAAGAAGGCCCUAGGGUUGUAAAGCACUUUCAGUAAGGAGGAAGGCUGUACGGUUAAUACCCGUGCAGAUUGACGUUACUUACAGAAGAAGCACCGGCUAACUCCGUGCCAGCAGCCGCGGUAAUACGGAGGGUGCAAGCGUUAAUCGGAAUGACUGGGCGUAAAGCGCACGUAGGUGGUUUGUUAAGUUGAAUGUGAAAGCCCUGGGCUCAACCUGGGAAUUGCAUCCAAAACUGGCAGGCUAGAGUACAGUAGAGGGAGGUAGAAUUUCCGGUGUAGCGGUGAAAUGCGUAGAGAUCGGAAGGAAUACCAGUGGCGAAGGCGGCCUCCUGGACUGAUACUGACACUGAUGUGCGAAAGCGUGGGUAGCGAACAGG